AGACACGGUGUCAGCAUUAGCCUUAUCGAAAGAUGGCUCUCUGCUUUACUCUGCUUCAUGGGAUAGAACUUUCAAAAUCUGGAGAAUUUCGGAUUUCAAAUGCCUUGAAUCAGUCUGGAAUGCUCAUGACGAUGCCAUUAACGCCAUUGCUCUGUCGAAAAAUGGGUAUGUUUACACCGGUUCAGCAGACAUGAAGAUCAAAAUAUGGAAGAAAGAACGAGGGGAGAAGAGCGUACACACCCUUAUAUCAACACUAGAAAAACACAAAUCAUCCGUAAAUGCUUUAGCUCUUAGUACAGAU
rnacentral:misc_RNA from 1 species